rnacentral:rRNA from 1 species
GAGUUUGAUCCUGGCUCAGGACGAACGCUGGCGGCGUGCCUAACACAUGCAAGUCGAACGGAGAACUCAAAAAGCUUGCUUUGAGAGUUCUUAGUGGCGGACGGGUGAGUAACGCGUGGGCAACCUCCCCCUUAAGCCGGGACAACCCUUGGAAACGAGGGCUAAUACCGGAUACACUUUUCUGAGGACAUCCUCGGGAAAGGAAAGGCGGCCUCUGAAGAUGCUGCCGAUAAGGGAUGGGCCCGCGUCUGAUUAGCUGGUUGGUGGGGUAAAGGCCUACCAAGGCGACGAUCAGUAGCCGGCCUGAGAGGGUGAACGGCCACACUGGGACUGAGACACGGCCCAGACUCCUACGGGAGGCAGCAGUGGGGAAUCUUCCGCAAUGGACGAAAGUCUGACGGAGCAACGCCGCGUGUAUGACGAAGGCCUUCGGGUUGUAAAGUACUGUCUUUAGGGACGAACGGUAUCUAUGUGAACAAUGUAGGUACAUGACGGUACCUAAGGAGGAAGCCCCGGCUAACUACGUGCCAGCAGCCGCGGUAAUACGUAGGGGGCGAGCGUUGUCCGGAAUCAUUGGGCGUAAAGGGCGCGUAGGCGGAUUUUUAAGUCUGGUGUGAAAACUUGGGGCUCAACCCCAAGCCUGCAUCGGAAACUGGGAAUCUUGAGGACAGGAGAGGAAAGUGGAAUUCCACGUGUAGCGGUGAAAUGCGUAGAG